rnacentral:rRNA from 1 species
CUAAGUUGUUAUGCUCACACCGCGUGUAUACAGCCUAACACAUGCAGUCGAACGGUACCAGAGAGCUUGCUCUCGGGUGACGAGUGGCGGACGGGUGAGUAAUGCCUGUGAAACUGCCUGAUGGAGUGGGGAUAACUACUGGAAACGNGUAGCUAAUACCGCAUAACGUCUUCGGACCAAAGUUGGGGGACCUUCGCCUCUCCUCAU